ACAGGGAUUGCCCUAGUAACGGCGAGUGAAGCGGCAACAGCUCAAAUUUGAAAUCUGGCUCUUUUAGGGUCCGAGUUGUAAUUUGCAGAGGGCGCUUUGGCGUUGGCAGCGGUCCAAGUUCCUUGGAACAGGACGUCACAGAGGGUGAGAAUCCCGUACGUGGUCGCUGGCCUUCGCCGUGUAAAGCCCCUUCGACGAGUCGAGUUGUUUGGGAAUGCAGCUCUAAAUGGGAGGUAAAUUUCUUCUAAAGCUAAAUACUGGCCAGAGACCGAUAGCGCACAAGUAGAGUGAUCGAAAGAUGAAAAGCACUUUGGAAAGAGAGUCAAAUAGCACGUGAAAUUGUUGAAAGGGAAGCGCUUGCAGCCAGACUUGCCUGUAGUUGCUCAUCUGGGCUUUUGUCCAGUGCACUCUUCUACAGGCAGGCCAGCAUCAGUUUGGGCGGUUGGAUAAAGGUCUCUGUCACGUACCUCCCUUCGGGGAGGCCUUAUAGGGGAGACGACAUGCAACCAGCCUGGACUGAGGUCCGCGCAUCUGCUAGGAUGCUGGCGUAAUGGCUGUAAGCGGCCCGUCUUGAAACACGGACCAAGGAGUCUAACAUCUAUGCGAGUGUUUGGGUGUCAAGCCCGGACGCGUAAUGAAAGUGAACGGAGGUGGGAACCUUUUAGGGUGCACCAUCGACCGAUCCUGAUGUCUUCGGAAGGAUUUGAGUAAGAGCAUGGCUGUUGGGACCCGAAAGAUGGUGAACUAUGCUUGAAUAGGGUGAAGCCAGAGGAAACUCUGGUGGAGGCUCGCAGCGGUUCUGACGUGCAAAUCGAUCGUCAAAUUUGGGCAUAGGGGCGAAAGACUAAUCGAACUAUCUAGUAGCUGGUUCCUGCCGAAG
rnacentral:rRNA from 1 species